rnacentral:rRNA from 1 species
CCUACGGGAGGCAGCAGUGGGGAAUCUUGCGCAAUGGGCGAAAGCCUGACGCAGCCAUGCCGCGUGUAUGAUGAAGGUCUUAGGAUUGUAAAAUACUUUCACCGGUGAAGAUAAUGACUGUAGCCGGAGAAGAAGCCCCGGCUAACUUCGUGCCAGCAGCCGCGGUAAUACGAAGGGGGCUAGCGUUGCUCGGAAUUACUGGGCGUAAAGGGAGCGUAGGCGGACAUUUAAGUCAGGGGUGAAAUCCCAGAGCUCAACUCUGGAACUGCCUUUGAUACUGGGUGUCUUGAGUGUGAUAGAGGUAUGUGGAACUCCGAGUGUAGAGGUGAAAUUCGUAGAUAUUCGGAAGAACACCAGUGGCGAAGGCGACAUACUGGAUCAUUACUGACGCUGAGGCUCGAAAGCGUGGGGAGCAAACAGGAUUAGAUACCCUGGUAGUCCACGCCGUAAACGAUGAUUGCUAGUUGUCGGGAUGUUUACAUCUCGGUUGACGCAGCUAACGCAUUAAGCAAUCCGCCUGGGGAGUACGGUCGCAAGNUUAAAACCUCAAGGAAUUGACGG